UCUUCUUUUUUCUUGUUCAGCACUACCUCGAAUGUUACCCCGUUCAGACAACAGUGAAGAAAGGGAAAGUUUUCUCUUGGACAAGGUUUCUAGGGUUGAGACGAAAGGGACAUUCUCAUCCAGACAAAGUUGUGCAAAAGGAAAUCCACAUUCAACAUUGUGUGGAGGUUCUCAAGCAGGUCCGACUCUAUGCAACAUUGCUAAGUAAAAGGAAAACUUUCUUGAAAAAUCUUUCUCCGUGUCCAUCUCUUCUGAAGUUGCUUAUGUUGAUGCUGAAUGUAAGGAAUCAUGGACAUGGUUCCUCAGUUUGUUACUUGAAGAUUUUGGUAGACCAGAGGACCUAGGAUGGGUUUUCAUGUCUGAUUAGCAAAAGGGAUUGACACAAACAUUCAAGGAAUUGAUGCCCAUAAUGGAGCAUAGAUUUUGUCUUAAACACAUAUAUGAGAACUACAAACAAAAAUCCAAGGGCAUUGAGUAUAAGAAGUUGCUCCGGGAAGCUGCAUCUGCUGGGACUGAGAAGCAUUUUGAAAUACAUAUGGGAAGAAUGAAGGAGAAGGAUGAAAAUUCCUAUAGAUGGUAUAUGCAACAUGAUCCACACAUUUGUGCAAGAUGUCACUUCUCAACUCACACCAAGUCAGAUGCUAUACAAAAUAACAUAUGUGAGUCUUUUAAUUCUUAUAUUAGGCAGGCAAGGAGUUUACCAAUUUUGCAAAUGUUUAAAUGGAUUAGAAAAAAAUUGAUGCAAAGGUUUUAUGUCAAGCUAACUGGCAUGAAAAACUACUAAAGCACCAUUUGUCCUAACUAGCAAGACAAGUUGGAAAAAAUUAAGUUGCAAAGUAGAAAUUGUUUUUGCACCUCAGCUGGUCAAGGAGUUUAUGAGGUUGAUUUAUAUGAUAUAACUUCAGUUGUUAGAUUGGCAGAAAGAACAUGCACAUGUAGGAUGUGGGAACUCACGGAAAUUCCAUGCAAGCAUGCCAUAGCUGCAAUCCAUAGUAACAGAAAAGAGCCAGAGGCAUAUGUGCAUCACUUCUUCACUAAGUCAACUUAUUUAGAGGUAUACAAGUAUCCCAUACAACUAGUUGCAAGCCAAGAUGGAUGGGAAAAAACUAAUCUACCUGACAUUCACCCAUAAAUUGUGAAGAAACCCCCAGGUAGGCCCAGAUAGAACAGAAAAAAAAAAUUCAGAUGAACCACAAAAUCCAUAUAUGGUUUCAAGGGUUGGUACUAAUGUCUUAUGUGGAAAUUUUCAACAAGCUAGCCAUAAUAUAAGAGGACGUAAGGCUACUAUCACAGGAGAAACACCAUGGCAAAGGAGAUCUAGAAUCCAAAAGGCAAAGGAGAGUGGGUCAUAUGUACCAGAAAAAAGUUCUCCAAAACAAAGGGGAAGACCAAGAAAAAUUCCAAAUAUAUGUGAAGGUUUACAACGACCUAAACAACAACAACCUACACAACAGAUGGCCAUCAACAGAACUUUAGUGUCGAGUAGGCAAUCAAGUUAUAAUGCACAUACUGCUUCCAAUGUUCAGAAAAUAAUUACUCAAAACCAACAUGGCCCACUUAUUCCACCAAACAUCUCCAACAAUCCUCACAAGGAAACUCAAACUAUAGGACAUGCAGCUCAGUCAAGAGAAGAAUCCCUUAAUCUACACAAGAAGAAGAAGGCAGUAUAGCUAACACUGCAUUGUGUACUGAAGUACCAUAUUACUAUAAUUUGAAUUGAAGUGAUAAGGGGUUUGUAUUGAAGUACUCAAUUAUUAUACUUUGUACUAAUCCCUUAAUUUUGUAAUAGAAUGCUCUUGUACUAAAUUUUGUACAGUCCCUUAAUUUUGUACUAAUCUC